GAUGAACGCUGGCGGCGUGCUUAACACAUGCAAGUCGAACGGUGAAGGCGGAGCUUGCUCUGCUGGAUCAGUGGCGAACGGGUGAGUAACACGUGAGAAAUCUGCCCCUGACUCUGGGAUAAGCGCUGGAAACGGCGUCUAAUACUGGAUACGAGCUGCGAAGGAAUCUUCAGCAGCUGGAAAGAACUUCGGUCAGGGAUGAGCUCGCGGCCUAUCAGCUUGUUGGUGAGGUAACGGCUCACCAAGGCGUCGACGGGUAGCCGGCCUGAGAGGGUGACCGGCCACACUGGGACUGAGACACGGCCCAGACUCCUACGGGAGGCAGCAGUGGGGAAUAUUGCACAGUGGGCGAAAGCCUGAUGCAGCAACGCCGCGUGAGGGACGACGGCCUUCGGGUUGUAAACCUCUUUUAGCAGGGAAGAAGCGAAAGUGACGGUACCUGCAGAAAAAGCGCCGGCUAACUACGUG
rnacentral:rRNA from 1 species